GUACCAUCUAAUCUGGCAAUCUGGAUUAUGAUCGGUUCAACUAUUUUGUGGUUCCACUUCUACUAAUUGAAGCCGGUGAGUUGGUGUAUGCUUGAAGUGAGUCUGGUUCUUGCUUCAAUUCCCCCUGUUUCACCUCCAGAUCUACUCAUCGGGAGAUGGAUUCCUUGCAUUGAGAGGCUGGUCUGACGCUGUUGUUGAUAAUCAUCCAUACCUAUGCUGGACGUGGACGAAGUACACACAUGUACACGCAGCUUUUUUUUGAUCCGUUGCAUAUCAAAGCUUCAUUCAGACGAUGGACUGUCUUGCUCUACU